UUAUCAGUUUAAUAUCUGAUACGUCCCCUACCCGGGGACCAUAUAUUAAAUUGAUUUUUGGAGCAGGGAGAUGGAAUAGGGGCUUGCUCCGUCCACUCCACGCAUCGACCUGGUAUUGCAGUACCUCCAGGACCGGUGC
rnacentral:snRNA from 1 species